rnacentral:rRNA from 1 species
ACGGAAGGCAGCAGUGGGGAAUAUUGGGCAAUGGGCGCAAGCCUGACCCAGCAACGCCGCGUGAAGGAUGAAGGUCUUCGGAUUGUAAACUUCUUUGAUCAGGGACGAAUAAAUGACGGUACCUGAAGAACAAGUCACGGCUAACUACGUGCCAGCAGCCGCGGUAAUACGUAGGUGGCAAGCGUUAUCCGGAUUUACUGGGUGUAAAGGGCGCGUAGGCGGGGAUGCAAGUCAGGUGUGAAAUCUAUGGGCUUAACCCAUAAACUGCAUUUGAAACUGUAUCUCUUGAGUGUCGGAGAGGUAGAUGGAAUUCCUAGUGUAGCGGUGAAAUGCGUAGAUAUUAGGAGGAACACCAGUGGCGAAGGCGAUCUACUGGACGAUAACUGACGCUGAGGCGCGAAAGCGUGGGGAGCAAACAGGAUUAGAUACCCUGGUA